UCUUUCAACUAUUCCAGAAGUUUCGGAGUUCGAUGGUCUUUCACCCGAGUACAAAUCUUUGGUUACAAGAACUGCAUCCGAUCGAUUUGCCGUUAGUUCCAUGGAGAAAGAGAUGCAAUAGAGCCAAAGUCAAUUUUGGCUGGCUACUACUCCUAGUGACUUGUAGAUUAGCCAUUCUAAAGAGGUGGUGGCCGUGGUUCCUUCCUUUGGGCUUAAUAAUCCUGGCGGACGACGGAUGAUGGCGUUUGCCACCAGCAGCUCUCGGAGAAACUUUAGGGCCGGGAUAAUGAUGUCACAUGCCCAUUUCAUUCCUUGUUAAGGGACUUAUGGCCUCUCCCUUGUACCUCCAAAAAAGGAGUAAAGGCUCAUAAUUGAUCCCUUGUCUGUAUCAUGUAUGUAUUAUCCUUACCUUCCCCAAUUAAUGAGGUUGUUGCAGGUUGG